rnacentral:tRNA from 1 species
GGUAGCAUGGCCGAGCGGUCUAAGGCGCCUGGUUUAAGGCACCAGUCAUUUCGAUGGCGUGGGUUCGAAUCCCACUGCUGCCA